CUCAAUCACACUUUUUAAUUUUUAAGUCUUCAUGUGUGUCUAAUAGUUAUUUUAUUUUACACUUCUAUCUUUCAAAUCUAAAGUGUGUGUGUGUGUGAGAUGUAUGGCUAUAUUUUAUUUUAUCUCAUCUCUCGUCUUAUACGAAAGUGCUCUCACCAUUGCUGUUUUUUCUUUUAACCCCUUAAGGUCCACCAGGAUAUAGCCAAUCCAUUAAGAACCAGUCUGGCCCUUAUAGACCCUGUGCCAAUAUGGAACGUCUUGCAUAUUUUGCACGUCCAGCUAUGGCUCUUUAAACUGGGGUUUGUUGUGAUGUAUAUUUAGGGGGUCCAGCCAGUGUUGUGUAUAAUGGACAUUCCUAUCAGCGCAAAUACCUGUAAGAAAUGCAUUCACUAAAUAUGAAAUUGCACAUUUUGCCAGAAAAAGUUGAGCAGAAGUUACUUUCCCCCAAAUUGAUCUGUUUUUGGCCUAAAAUGUGCAGCUUAGUUUAGUGAAUAUAACCAAUUCAUACACCAAGCCCUGAACCAGGUUCUGUAUUUAAACACAAACAGCCAGAUAUACUGCAGUCAGUGGAAAGCUGAUAACAAUAACCUGAUAAAGUGCAGCCUCCGUAUUCAAUGGAAAUAAUCCGAAUAUUUGUGGCUAAAACGUGUUUUUUGAGGAUGGUGACAUCAGCCCCCUAUAGCCAGGUACAGAUUGUACAACUGAUACUGUAGAGUAUGUGUGAUGGACAGGUGUCCUUAUAACUGGGACACUAAUUCUGGACUCAGUAGUCCUUUGGCUAGCACCACUAAAGUGCCUGUCAUUGUAGUGACAGCCUAGAUCUGUCAGGGUAUUCCUGCUGUAAGGCAGCCUUCAUUGCAUGGACCUGUUUGUUUUUUGUCACCAAGCCUGACUUUGCACAAAACAUGUUCUAAGGCUGUGUUCUUCCCAUACUAAAUUUAGUCUUUGUGUAGAGGAGGGGCAUCUGAGUGAACACGUAAUUGGUAGUAAUUUUAGCUGUGAGAUAAAGGAAUGCAUGUCAUCUGGUGUAAGCUUCUUCUUCAAACCCCUCUAUUUAUAGAAGUGUGCAUGGUGCUGAUAAAAGAACCACUUUUUUUUUGCUUGUUAUUUUUAAAAUGAACUUGGAUUUGGUCCUACAAAUCUUGUUUAAAAUGAUGCUAGUAAAAAGUGUGUGUGUGUGUUCUUGGAGCACAGCUGGGUUUAUGCCUGGUCCAGAUGUUGCUAAUGGCUGUUUAAGCAAGGAUGGGCAGAUAGCAUAUGUCAUGCAACAUGUUUCCAUAUGGUCCAAUUAGCCCCUCACCCUUCUUCAUAUCAAUCAUAUACAUUGUAUUGGGAGAUUCAUGAUGCUUGGGAAUUUUAUUUUUCCUCCUCUUCUCAUCAUAAUCUGAUAUAAUCCUGCCAUCACACUUCUAUAUAUAUAUAUUUUUUUUUAAAUUAAAGGUCAUUGUGCAGAUAUCUUCCACCUAGCAUUGGUUGUCUCUUGUGUGUGUUAGUUUUUUUCUGUAUUGAAAGGUUUAACAGUUUUUUUGUUUUUUGUUUUUUUUUUGUCCCUUAAGCCAAUAUUCUCAUUGUUUUGUAUAUUUAUUUGAAAUGAGUUUUAUUUUUAUUGCGAAUGAUACAUUUAAUAGCUCUUGAUCUCACAUCGUUUUCACCUUCAUCCCAAAAGAAGCUAUAUUGAAACAUCACACCCCCAUAUUUACACACUGCCCAUACAUUUUUUAAUUUUGUUUUUUACAUGCAAACAUAAGGAUUGCGAUAUAUAGGCAAACCAGCUACUAAUGGUCCCACAAUGUUGCCAAUAUUAUGUGUUGGUUUCUAUGGUGAUUUCCUCUUAUUUUCGACUUUGAGAAAUGUCCCCCAUAGAGUUGUAAUCCGUCAAGACAAAUGUAUUUCUCGCCAUGCUUAUUUCCAUUAAACAGUUAAAAUAGAUGUUAGUUAAAUAUGGACUAUUUUGGUAAUCACAAAAUUAUCCCUGUAUUAAUCAUCAAUAAAGUUACUUAGUCUAUCAUUGUUGUCACCUAGUCAAUUCAUAUUUUGGCUUCUCUGAAAAGGCAUGCAAGUUGUUAUCAUAAGAAAAAAGGAAUGAAAUGUAAAGGUUACAGUGAGUGCAUAUCACAGAAAUCUAAUGCUAAUUCACAUGGUUUUCUGUAACCCACUGACUGCUGGGUAAUUGUUUUCCAAUCUGACGCUCUGUGGGUUAAGAUUGGGGAUUCAUUAAUUAUAAACCAGCAAAAUUGUUG